GAUGAAGAACGUAGCGAAAUGCGAUAAGUAAUGUAAAUUGCAGAAUUCAGUGAAUCAUCGAAUCUUUGAACGCACCUUGCGCCCUUUGGCCAUUCCGAAGGGCAUGCCUGUUUGAGUAUCAUGAACACCUCAACUCUUUAUGGUUUUCCAUGAUGAGCUUGGACUCUGGGGGUUUUGCUGGCUCACAGUCGGCUCCUCUAAAAUGAAUCAGCUUACCAGUGUUUGGUGGGUAUCAUGGGUGUGAUAACUAUCUACGCUUGUGGUUUUUCCACCAGGUAACCUUCAGCAGUGGAGGUUCGCUGGAGCUCAUAGAUGUCUCUCCUCAGUGAGGACAGCCCUUUGAAUGUUUGAUCUCAAAUCAGGUAGGACUACCCGCUGAACUUAAGCAUAUCAAUAAGCGGAGGA
rnacentral:misc_RNA from 1 species